rnacentral:rRNA from 1 species
GACCCGCUGAACUUAAGCAUAU